rnacentral:lncRNA from 1 species
GUGCUUUAGCGUGGUAACCAUCACUCAUCCCUCGUGUCGUGAGAACGAGAUACGUGAUACGUCCAUUUUGCAUCAUGCUUUCAAGUUGAUAUUUAUUGCUUCUUGGGCUGUUAUAUUACUUGUGGUACCAUAUUUAUGCCUUUUCUCUCUUAUUUUGCAAGGUUUAUUUGAAGAGGGAGAAUUCAGUCAGCUGGAAUUCUGGACUAGAAAAGGAGCAAAUUUUAGUCCACUAUUCUGCACAUCUCCAAAUGCCCUGAAAAUUUACGUGGAUUUUUUAUGAAAUAUAUUAAAAAUAUUGGGCGAAAGAACUACCGGAGGGGGG